ACGGCUACUUCCUCUCGCUGAGCUGAGAGACACAGAGGAACCUCGACAGGAGAACUGAGCGAUUCUUCCAUCAAUGCCAAGAUGGAAUCACGGUCUCCAUCCAGAGCUGCGCAUGAACAGGAGCCGAGACAUAGACCGUGCCGUAAGAUCUGCCUACUCUGCCUCGUUACGUCCGUUUUCGUCGCGAUAGUUGCCGGGCUCUCGAUCCAUGUGUUACAGAUCCGUCAGUCUCUGCUCGUCUCUGACCAAAAGUACCUGAGACUUUGGGAGCAACAUCAGGAGAUGAACAGGACCCAGUGCCAGUGUCCAG